rnacentral:rRNA from 1 species
GGGGAAACCCUGAUGCAGCAACGCCGCGUGAGUGAUGAAGGCCUUCGGGUUGUAAAGCUCUGUCUUCAGGGACGAUAAUGACGGUACCUGAGGAGGAAGCCACGGCUAACUACGUGCCAGCAGCCGCGGUAAUACGUAGGUGGCAAGCGUUGUCCGGAUUUACUGGGCGUAAAGGGAGCGUAGGCGGAUACUUAAGUGGGAUGUGAAAUACCUGGGCUUAACUUGGGUGCUGCAUUCCAAACUGGGUGUCUAGAGUGUUGGAGAGGAAAGUGGAAUUCCUAGUGUAGCGGUGAAAUGCGUAGAGAUUAGGAAGAACACCAGUGGCGAAGGCGACUUUCUGGACAAUAACUGACGCUGAGGCUCGAAAGCGUGGGGAGCAAACAGGAUUAGAUACCCUGGUAGUCCACGCCGUAAACGAUGGGUACUAGGUGUAGGGGGUAUCGACUCCCCCUGUGCCGCCGUUAACACAAUAAGUACCCCGCCUGGGG